GCCGGGUGCAGUGGCGUGCGCCUGUAAUCCAAGUUGCUGGGAGGCUUAGGCUGGCGGAUCGUUUGAGCUCAGGAGUUCUGAGCUCCAGUGGACUAUGCCGAUCGGGUGUCCGCACUAAGUUCGGUAUCGAUAUGGUGCUCCUGGGGGAGCCCGGGACCACCAGGUCGUCUAAGGAGGGGUGCACCGGCCCAGGUCGGAAACGGAGCAGGCCAAAGCCCCCGUGCCGCUCAGUAGUGGGAUCGCGCCUGUGAAUAGACGCUGUAGUGCAGCCUGAGCAAUAUAGCGGGACACAGUCUUUU
ensembl:misc_RNA Metazoa_SRP Metazoan signal recognition particle RNA